rnacentral:lncRNA from 1 species
UGACUUUGGACUGAAUUCUGUCAUCUCUACCGUUAAAAUGAUAUAUAAAAAUAUAUUAACCUGACUCGCAAAAUAGUGUCCAUGUUUAUAUGGUGAGGAGUAUCAAACAAAUGGUAUCAUUGUCAUCUGAUGGGAGUAAUUGGUGUAAUCGGACUCUGUCAUGAUUCUGUCAUAUUGGUGUUAUAUAUUUGUGUUAAAUAUAUUAUUUUAAAAAAAUAAACU